rnacentral:rRNA from 1 species
UACGUAGGGUGCAAGCGUUUGUCCGGAAUUAUUGGGCGUAAAGAGCGUGUAGGCGGCCCGAUUAGCUCGCUGUGAAAGUCCAGGGCUCAACCCUGGAAUGCCGGUGGAUACUGUCGGGCUAGAGUCCGGAAGGGGCGAGUGGAAUUCCUGGUGUAGCGGUGAAAUGCGCAGAUAUCAGGAGGAACACCAAUUGCGAAGGCAGCUCGCUGGGACGUUACUGACGCUGAGACGCGAAAGCGUGGGGAGCGAACAGG